UACGGGAGGCAGCAGUGGGGAAUAUUGCACAAUGGAGGGAACUCUGAUGCAGCGACGCCGCGUGAGUGAAGAAGUAUUUCGGUAUGUAAAGCUCUAUCAGCAGGGAAGAAGAUGACGGUACCUGAAUAAGAAGCCCCGGCUAACUACGUGCCAGCAGCCGCGGUAAU
rnacentral:rRNA from 1 species